GGUUAAGCGACUAAGCGUACACGGUGGAUGCCCUGGCAGUCAGAGGCGAUGAAGGGCGUGCUAAUCUGCGAUAAGCGCCGGUAAGGUGAUAUGAACCGUUAUAACCGGCGAUACCCGAAUGGGGAAACCCAGUGUGACUCGUCACACUAUCAUUAACUGAAUCCAUAGGUUAAUGAGGCGAACCGGGGGAACUGAAACAUCUAAGUACCCCGAGGAAAAGAAAUCAACCGAGAUUCCCCCAGUAGCGGCGAGCGAACGGGGAGGAGCCCAGAGCCUGAAUCAGCAUGUGUGUUAGUGGAAGCGUCUGGAAAGGCGCGCGAUACAGGGUGACAGCCCCGUACACAAAAGCGCAUGUGCUGUGAGCUCGAUGAGUAGGGCGGGACACGUGGUAUCCUGUCUGAAUAUGGGGGGACCAUCCUCCAAGGCUAAAUACUCCUGACUGACCGAUAGUGAACCAGUACCGUGAGGGAAAGGCGAAAAGAACCCCGGCGAGGGGAGUGAAAAAGAACCUGAAACCGUGUACGUACAAGCAGUGGGAGCCCCACCACCAAAGCAUUUGCUGUACCGCGUUGACGGAGCGAAGCGACGUCAAACCGAUAAAACAGCAGUGUAAAGUGAGCCGCAGGGCGCUUUGCGCGACAGCGCAAAGGCAGGCGGUUUCGCGUAGCGAAAGCGAAUGCUUUGGGGUGGGGUGACUGCGUACCUUUUGUAUAAUGGGUCAGCGACUUAUAUUCUGUAGCAAGGUUAACCGAAUAGGGGAGCCGGAGGGAAACCGAGUCUUAAUUGGGCGUUAAGUUGCAGGGUAUAGACCCGAAACCCGGUGAUCUAGCCAUGGGCAGGUUGAAGGUUGGGUAACACUAACUGGAGGACCGAACCGACUAAUGUUGAAAAAUUAGCGGAUGACCUGUGGCUGGGGGUGAAAGGCCAAUCAAACCGGGAGAUAGCUGGUUCUCCCCGAAAGCUAUUUAGGUAGCGCCUCGUGAAUUCAUCUCCGGGGGUAGAGCACUGUUUCGGCUAGGGGGCCAUCCCGGCUUACCAACCCGAUGCAAACUGCGAAUA
rnacentral:rRNA from 1 species